GGCUCAGGACGAACGCUGGCGGCGUGCUUAACACAUGCAAGUCGAACGGUGAAAGAGGAGCUUGCUCCUCUGGAUCAGUGGCGAACGGGUGAGUAACACGUGAGUAACCUGCCCUUGACUCUGGGAUAAGCGUUGGAAACGACGUCUAAUACCGGAUACGAACCGCGAAGGCAUCUUCUGCGGUUGGAAAGAAUUUCGGUCAAGGAUGGACUCGCGGCCUAUCAGCUUGUUGGUGAGGUAAUGGCUCACCAAGGCGACGACGGGUAGCCGGCCUGAGAGGGUGACCGGCCACACUGGGACUGAGACACGGCCCAGACUCCUACGGGAGGCAGCAGUGGGGAAUAUUGCACAAUGGGCGCAAGCCUGAUGCAGCAACGCCGCGUGAGGGAUGACGGCCUUCGGGUUGUAAACCUCUUUUAGUAGGGAAGAAGCGAAAGU
rnacentral:rRNA from 1 species